GUCCGCACAGUAACGAUGAAUACUAGCUGUUGCGAUAUACUGUAAGUGGCACAGCGAAGCGUUAAGUAUUCCACCUGGGAGUACGCCGGCAACGGUGAACUCAAGGAAUUGACGGGCCCGCACAAGCGGAGGAACAUGUGGUUAAUUCGAUGAUACGCGAGGAACCUUACCCGGGCUUGAAUUGCAUUUGAAUAUAUCGGAAACGUUAUAGCCAGCAAUGGCAAAUGUGAAGGUGCUGCAUGGUUGUCGU
rnacentral:rRNA from 1 species